rnacentral:lncRNA from 1 species
UGUUGAUGGAUCAAAUAAAAUUUAAUUUGAUGAGCAACUCCAUAAAAUGAAUGUCUGACUUUUAAGUGUGAACCACAGCUCAAAUCUCUGAAAAACCUCAGUGUUUUUAUUACACUUUAUGCAAUAGGUCACAUUGAAAAAGUUAUCUUGGAAACUAGUUUUUGGAUAUUGAUAUUUUAUAAAUGUAUUAAUUUCCUACAGGAAUGGAAUGUUUCUUUAGAAAAAAAUACACUAAACUGGGAAGUGUGUUUAAGCUUCUAUGAAGCCCACUCACUUUCAAUAUUAGAGCAUGCAUGAAACUCUAUGAACUUACCU